ensembl:lncRNA
AUGCAAAGUGGCUUUGCAAUUUGUCUUUGCUGCUGGCAGAACUGAGAAAAACAUGCGACUGCCCAACUAGGUUUGUAGCUGUCAGAGCUUGAUGAUCAGUGCUUUCUCUUUUGUCUGGAAAAACCUUUGCUACAGAAUCCAGGAAGGCUCGAUCAUGGUUUAGUUGUUUCUCAUCUGCUCUCUGAUGCUGGCAUUAGAAUUUCUCACUGCACCGACCAGAAAAAGAAAUGGCUACUUUCAUUGUUGGCUAAAUAGGAAACUUUGCAUCUGGCGCUUCUGAAUAAUGAUCCGUCUUUGACUAUGCGUGCGAUUGUGUUAACUUCAAAUUGGACUGUUUCUGUGUAGCACAGCACAUUUAAAAAUACAACCUUGCACAAAGUCACAGGUAGAAGCUGCAGAAUUGAGCUUCUACCUCUUAAGCAAAGAUGACUGCUUAAAGAGUGUUUUCUGGGAUUUACCAUUUCUUAUGGCACUUCAGUUUUUCUCAAGACUACCUGCUUUGCUAACCAUACUGGAACUACCUACCUCAUGGAAGAAAUACAUGGGCUUUUAACAAGGGAACUUGCAACCUAAGACAUGAUGUGAGAGUCAAAAUCAUUCUUCAUGCGACUUUUCCACGUAACUUUCCUGAUUUAUGCUCAAGACCAACCACUUCCUUUUGUUUCGUUCUUGCUGCUGGAUUUUUCUCGUGCUUGUGAAAUCUUUCUGCCAUUGCUAAAUUUCUGUAGUGUUGGAUCUGCAGCCUGGAGCCUUAGACCUUCCUGAUGUGUGUUGGCUGGAGAAUUGCUACUGGCAGUAUUUGAGGUGGAUUAUCACUUUUUAGCUGAUUAAUGUUGUUUGGGAGCAGAAUACACUCUUCUGUUCAUGGUUUUGCUUAAAUGAGGUAAGCAUAAGUAGUACUGUUGCCACACACACACACAGUCUACAUGGAAUUACUGGAAAUUGAGAGGUAACUAAAAGUGUUUUGAAAAGUAGUUGAUGUUUUCUGUUUUGUGUUAGAUUUCUAGUCAGGAGUCUCUGAUCAAUUUGAAAUUUGAGGAUUUGGAAUUUAAAAUGAGAAUCCUUAAAGCUGUCUGGAUGGAAUUUUUUUCCUUGUAUGUUUGUAACUCGUGGAAGACUCGCAUGGAAUCUCUAGACCUUUCUCUGGGGCUUGUAUUUUAGAAUUUGAAUCAUUCAAGUCUUUUUCCUUAUUGCUUCCCUUGUAUUUGUGCACAGGGGCUAUGUUUGUUUCCUCAGCUGGCUGGGAUAAGAGCAUAUGAGUGGAUGUUCAGCUUUACGCAGGAAGCUACUGACAUAAUUUAUUUGGAUGGCAUGCAAGCUAUCCCCCCCAUAUGUAAGCCCCAUAUUCAUGCCUGAUGUUGCUCUAUUUGAACACCUAAUCGUCUCAGGAAUACAUGAAAACCCCUUCAGCUGUUAAGAGUUUACCAGUUCUUGAAAUGGUGCCUUGUUUACAGGGAAAUUACAACUGCAGUGUUUCUUGGGGGGAAAUGUUUUGACAGGUAGGUAAUACAGGCAAUGACUUUGGAUUGGCACUACAUGCUAUGUGGAAAGCAAGAUAUCCAAAGCAGCAUUUAAAAAUUAUCUUUUUGCUCAGUUUUCAUGUCACAUAAACAGCAAGAACAGUUUUCUUGACCACUGUUGCUGAUCCAGCUGGAAGCCUUUUCUGUUGUAGCUUCUUUCUUCUAAAUAUGCUAUGUUGCUGUUCAAAGCACAGAAAACAGCCUUAAUGAUGGGCACCUACACUGUUUCAAUUUAUCAUUCAUUGUGGAUGCUGAGAACUCUUGUGCAAGUGAUCAGAUUUCUGGUGUUCUCUGAGUGUUUGCUUUUCCAUUUCCUUUGAACUGAAGUUGCCAAAUCCUUUUAUUUGAAGAAGAUGUGGACAAAUUAACUUAUCUGAUCAAUCUCAUUGUACUCUUCUGUUCGAAUCUCACGGAAUUUGAGCUUUUCAGGUAAUGGCAACCAGAUGGCACUAAAGCUUUGUUUUCACGUUAGCAUUUAAUUGGAGAGAAAACAUGAGUCUGAAAUUAUUUCCACCAUCAUUUUAUUUUUGUGGUUUAAUAUUGCCCACUACAAUCUUAAACUAUUAACUUCUAUUUCGUGAAAGAAAAAGCUACCACUUUUCCAUGGAAAAAAAACUCAGUGGUUAAACAUUGCACGUUAAAGCUACAUGCUGCAUACAUAUGGAACAAGAUCUUCAUCCUACCUUAACGAGAGGUAUCAACUUGAAAAUAGCUCCUUAUAUCCUGCUGAAGCUCUUGACAACUGCUGACAUCUGAGGAGCACUGGGAUUUAACUUGCUAGUAGCUGCAUUUGAUUUGUGGAGUCUAAGUCUGUUGUAGCAAUAAACAAUUUUGUUUUGAAAUCUUCCAAGAUUUCUAACUGAAUCUUUCACUUCUUUCCUCUUGGAACAAAGAACAAAAUGAUUUCUUGGAAUGAAGAAAAUAUAAGUAUGAAUAUCCAAACCACAGCGCGGAGGUGUCACUUCUGAUCCAAUUUCAAGAUAAAAUGUUACGUAACUGUAAUGAAUGAAACAUUAUGUUCUUAUUAUAUGUUUGCGACAACUUCCUUUGCAAGAGGUGGAAGGCUAAUACUCACCUGCAGUUACUCCAGACAGAAGCAGCACAUGAAUUAACUGCAUGUUCUGUUGAGGCUAGAAGGGCACUGUAUCACCUCUAAGCGUAAAAACAUUACUUUUUAAAAGCAACGCCACAGGACACUCAGCUGUGAAGAAGAGCCCUGCUUGUUCCUGUUUAUCUAAGCACAGAACUUCACAUCAAUGUGAGAUUGAGCUUGAGACUGAGGUCUGUCUCAGGGAAAUACUUGAAACACUGACGUGGACAAUUUGAACAACUUUGAUUGAAAUGCACAACGUAUGAUAUAUGUAGUGCACGUUUUGUAGUAGGCACUUCGUUGCUGAGGAAUGUCAAUACCCUUUUACAAGGGGUCUACAAUCUCCUUAUUCCUCUUCUAGGAAUAUGAAGGUUUGUAUCUCCCUUCCCUUCUCGUAGCACGCAACAACAAUCUGCUACAAAGCUGAAGGGAUGGCCCUAAAGAAACUCGGGUAUAAGCUUCCUCAGUCUUACAAGGCUGUCUGCUACUGCCUCGUUGCCAUGUGUGCUUGAGAUGCCGUUUGAGAAGAUGGUUCAGAGGCCCUUUAAUCAGUUUGUAGACAAAUCUGUAGGGGCGAGUCAUGGUGAGUAUGCUGUGCUGGGGGCAGUGUGCUGGCACUGUGCAACUAUCUCCUACUUGAAAAUAAACCUGGAGCAAAACAAAGAUCUGGUUAAAAAGCUAGGCUCGCCUCAGUAAAGCCAGAAGUGACUGUUUGACUCUGGUUCAGUUUGGGGAAUUGAUGAAGCCUGUGACCCUCGAUGCUAAUUGUUUCUCCAGUCCCCUUCUGUCAGUUGUGCCUGGUACUGGGCUGUAGAAGGUCAUCUCAACGCUGUGGAUUUGCACUCUUUCAUGUCUAAGCUGGAUUUAUAAUGUGCUGCAUUGAAGGAGUAUCCAGAAGUUAACUGGCAUGAUUUGUGUUUUGCUAAAUCUGAAAACACUGCCCAUGCCACACUGACACUUUGUAUUCUUUGAUGGUUUAUUGGGUUCUGCAGCUUAAUCCUACUCUCGAAUUCCAUCUUAAAAGCCACAGUUGCUCCGCCCGCUGCAUAUCCAAUCCAGUAGCAUCCAGGUGCAGUCUGAGUUCUGGAGAGAAGUUCUUUGGUAGUGUCUUGUGUGCUCUCCAAGAGACUGUCCUUCCUCUCAGAGUACUGCAGAAGUUCUCUUUAUUCAUACAUUUUUUCCCUGUAUCUAAUGGUGUGCGUUUUGUUUUGUUUUUGGUGAUAAAUUCUGUAAACAAGUACAUGUGCUGUGUUGCUUUCAUGGACAGCUGUGUACCAUGCCUAAUCAAACAGAACUUCUGAAAUAGACGUCAUUUAUAAAUCUGUGCAGUUGAUGUUCAGUCCAGGGCUGGUGAUGCAGUGACUGCACUUGUGCAGGAGGUGUUCUUAGUCACAGACAGCUUGGUUAUGAGGGCCGUUCCCUUGGAAAAUAUUCCUUAUGCACUUAGUUCUGAAUCAGUCUCUUACUCAGAUGAAUCCUUUGGACUGAGAUUUCAGUAUAUGAAUUCCUCCAGUUUAAGAGUUUUAUUUUAUUCUAAGAUGUGUCAUUUACCUCCUGCAGCAUUUAUUUUCCUUCUGUGGACUAUUUUGGCAUUUCUUCUAUCUUAGUUUGUCUUUGUCUAUGUCCAUCAAGAUGAAGAAAGUCUCUUCUCAGCAGCUAAAGACACUAGUGAAAGUAGAUGUUCAGGAGAGACAAGCAAUAUGCCUCUCUCCUUAUGUCCAGUUAGGUUUGUUAUCGCUAUUUUCUAUAUAUUCUGCAUUUUUCUACAAGUCAUGAUCAAGUGUGAGAUCCAGCUCAUCUGUAUGUCAUAUAAAACUUAAAUAAAAGUGUGAUGC